GAUGAAGAACGUAGCGAAAUGCGAUACUUGGUGUCAAUUGCAGAAUCCCGUGAACCAUUGAGUUUUUGAACGCAAGUUGCGCCCGAAGCCGUUAGGCCGAGGGCACGCCUGCCUGGGUGUCACACAUCGUUGCCCCAAUGCCAAUCGCCUCACUUUGUAGGUAUUUGCUUGGGGUGAAUGUUGGCCUCCCGUGAGCUUUGUCUCACGGUUGGUUGAAAAUCGAGUGCAUGGUGUCGGGUGUACCAUGAUGGAUGGUGGUUGAGUGAUGAUGCUCGGGACCAAUCAUGGGUAACUCCACCAGAAUUGGGCUCGGUGACCCACAUGCGUCCCUUGGAUGCUCCCUAAGGAGACCUCAGGUCAGGCGGGGCUACCCGCUGAGUUUAAGCAUAUCAAUAAGCGGAGGA
rnacentral:misc_RNA from 1 species